rnacentral:tRNA from 1 species
GCCCCCGUAGUUCAAUGGAUAGAACUCCGGACUUCUAAGCCGGAUAUGACUGUUCGAUUCAGUCCGGGGGCA